AUACAGAGGAUGCGAGCGUUAUCCGGAUUUAUUGGGUUUAAAGGGUGCGUAGGCUGUGCGUUAAGUCAGGGGUGAAAUGCCGUCGCUCAACGACGGAGCUGCCCUUGAUACUGGCGUGCUGGAGUACGGAUGCCGUUGGAGGAAUGAGUGGUGUAGCGGUGAAAUGCUUAGAUAUCACUCAGAACACCGAUUGCGAAGGCAUCUGACGAAUCCGUCACUGACGCUGAGGCACGAAAGCGUGGGGAUAGAACAGGAUUAGAUACCCUGGUAUUCCACGCCGUAAACGAUGAUGACUAACCGUCGGCGAUAGACAGCCGGUGGCCAAGCGAAAGCGAUAAGUCAUCCACCUGGGGAGUACGUCGGCAACGAUGAAACUCAAAUGAAUUGACGGGG
rnacentral:rRNA from 1 species